rnacentral:rRNA from 1 species
CCUACGGGAUGCAUCAGUGGGGAAUCUUGCGCAAUGGGCGAAAGCCUGACGCAGCGACGCCGCGUGAGGGAUGAAGGUCUUCGGAUCGUAAACCUCUGUCAGCAGGGAAGAACGGUCACUGUGCUAAUCAGCAGUUAAUUGACGGUACCUGCAAAGGAAGCACCGGCUAACUCCGUGCCAGUAGCCGCGGUAAUACGGAGGGUGCGAGCGUUAAUCGUAAUUACUGGGAGUAAAGCGCUCGUAGGCGGUAUGUCAAGUCAAUGGUGAAAUCCCAGCGCGCAACGUGGGAACUGCCUUUGAAACUGGCAAAAUGGAGUGUGUGAGAGGAUAGUGGAAUUCCAGGUGGAGGAGUGAAAUCCGUAGAUAUCGGGAGGAACAUCAGUGGCGAAGGCGACUAUCUGGCACAUAACUGACGCUGAGGAGCGAAAGCGUGGGUAGCAAACAGGAUGAGAUACCCGAGUAGUC